UGGGGAAUAUUGGGCAAUGGGGGAAACCCUGACCCAGCAACGCCGCGUGGAGGAAGAAGGUUUUCGGAUCGUAAACUCCUGUCCUCAGGGAAGAGCAGAGGACGGUACCUGAGGAGGAAGCCCCGGCUAACUACGUGCCAGCAGCCGCGGUAAUACGUAGGGGGCAAGCGUUGUCCGGAAUGAUUGGGCGUAAAGGGCGCGUAGGCGGCUCGGUAAGUCUGAAGUGAAAGUCCUGCCUUCAAGGUGGGAAUUGCUUUGGAUACUGUCGGGCUUGAGUGCAGGAGAGGUAAGUGGAAUUCCCAGUGUAGCGGUGAAAUGCGUAGAUAUUAGGAGGAACACCAGUGGCGAAGGCGGCUUACUGGACGAUAACUGACGUUGAGGCUCGAAAGCGUGGGGAGC
rnacentral:rRNA from 1 species